rnacentral:rRNA from 1 species
UCAAGAACAUUCGACAAUGGGCGAAAGCCUGAUCGAGCGACGCCGCGUGCAGGAAGAAGGCCUUCGGGUUGUAAACUGCUUUUGCCAGGGAAGAAUUUUGACGGUACCUGGCGAAUAAGGGGUUGCUAACUCUGUGCCAGCAGCAGCGGUAAUACAGAGACCCCGAGCGUUAUCCGGAAUUACUGGGCGUAAAGCGCAAGUAGUCGGUUGUGUUAGUCUUGUGUUAAAUCUCACCGCCCAACGGUGAGGCCGCACGGGAAACGGCACGACUAGAGCAAGUCAGGGGUAUGCGGAACGUGUGGUGUAGCGGUGAAAUGCAUUGAUAUCGCACGGAACACCAAAAGCGAAAGCAGCAUACUGGGGCUUUGCUGACGAUCAGUUGCGAAAGCGUGGGGAUCAAAAAGG